CUACGGAAUAGUCCCGGGAAACUGGGUUUAAUACCGUAUACGCCCUUCGGGGGAAAGAAUUUCGGUGAGGGAUCGGCCCGCGUUAGAUUAGUUAGUUGGUGGGGUAAUGGCCUACCAAGACUACGAUCUAUAGCUGGUUUGAGAGGAUGAUCAGCAACACUGGGACUGAGACACGGCCCAGACUCCUACGGGAGGCAGCAGUGGGGAAUCUUAGACAAUGGGGGCAACCCUGAUCUAGCGAUGCCGCGUGAGUGAUGAAGGCCUUAGGGUCGUAAAGCUCUUUCGCCUGUGAUGAUAAUGACAGUAGCAGGUAAAGAAACCCCGGCUAACUCCGUGCCAGCAGCCGCGGUAAUACGGAGGGGGUUAGCGUUGUUCGGAAUUACUGGGCGUAAAGCGCACGUAGGCGGAUUAGUCAGUCAGAGGUGAAAUCCCAGGGCUCAACCCUGGAACUGCCUUUGAUACUGCUAGUCUUGAGUUCGAGAGAGGUAAGUGGAAUUCCGAGUGUAGAGGUGAAAUUCGUAGAUAUUCGGAGGAACACCAGUGGCGAAGGCGGCUUACUGGCUCGAUACUGACGCUGAGGUGCGAAAGUGUGGGGAGCAAACAGGAUUAGAUACCCUGGUAGUCCACACCGUAAACGAUGAAUGCCAGUCGUCGGGUAGCAUGCUAUUCGGUGACACACCUAACGGAUUAAGCAUUCCGCC
rnacentral:rRNA from 1 species